GGGGAUAGAACUCAAUGGCAUAAGUGUCUGCCUGGUAAGCACAAGGUCCUGAGUUGGGUUCCCAGUACCCCCA
rnacentral:tRNA from 1 species